CAGCACUUUUGUAAGACUGAAGCUUGGUCACGUCUUCUCUCUGCUUAAACUGUCAGUAGUUCAUCUUGUUGGCCAAGUUCAUGACCAGGGUGUCUGUCACUGAUGGAAGAUGGAGUUGUGAAACCACUUUAAAGGACAAAACCAGCGUGGAAAUACAAGGCACUGGCAUGCUGUAACUAGCCAAGAGAGGCACCAUUUUGGAGAUACAUAACAACUGCUCGAGCUACUGACCGCGAACCCAGCAACCAACCUAGAGGAGAUGCUGGACUCUGGGAGAAUUGACAGGGGGCUGGGUGCUUGUGACUGUGGGAGCCUUGUGUGGUGGGACUGUGAAAACACUGGGCUGUGUGGGAGGGUGCAGGCAACCUCCAUGGAGGGAACAUAUUUAGAGUAGCUUGAUGCAGGAAUCAGCUGCAGUGCAUCAGCUGAACUUAUUUAGACAAAGUCUUAGACAUUGGAGCAGUAGGAUGCUACGUAGAUCUAAUGUUUCUGUAAGAUAAUACUUUUGUCUUUUGGCUGCGUCCAUUCUCCCAAGGGCAGUGACAGUUCCUAAUCUCAUUGUUUCAGCAAUGAGGAAAGAAAUCAGUGGUAGAAGAGAGUACAUCAAAUCCCUGACAUAAUUUUGGAGAACUUCUGCCACUUUACUCUGGCUUUCUUACACUUAACCUCUCCAAAUGUCCAGUCCCUUGUUAUCUUGGUUCCAGUUGCACAGAGAUU